UCGAUUAUUGAUGGGAAGAUAUUAUUUAACUAUCCAAAAUAUUAUUUAAUUAUUUUCAGAAUUAUUUUCUUUCAAUGUUUAUUCAAAUAGAACUUAAACCCAUCUCAGAAUUUUUAAAUGCUUGAUGACGUCACAUUUAAAACGUGGCAACAUUGGUUUCCCCACUUUGACAGCCAAUGCUUAGUAGAGGGGUACGAAGGAUUCAGCUGUGAACGUGAGCCUUGGAUUGCCAUUGUUUCUCGAGUGUUCGGUCUGAAUCGUAGUGUGCGGGGUCAUUAGACUCAAUUAUUCACCUCUAAUUCUCAGUUCCAAAUUGAUUAAAUAUUACAAUAAAAGUAUAGUGAAGUUAUCCAGCAGCAGUGGAUUUGAAGAAUUUUAGAGCAUACUAUAUCCAAUGAGUUCUACCCCGCACCUACCAUGAAAUCUUAAAGCCACCCUACAACAACACCAAGGCCAGACCACACAGAGAGAAACAAUCAAUAGGCGACCAGCCUGGAUUAUUUCCACAUUUUCUUUUUUUGAGUACCUCCAGCUGCUUUCCAACAGUUUUGAGUACCUUCAGCUGCUUUCUACCAGUCUUCCUCUCCUGUACCUCCAGCAGGACAGCUGCUAGCGAGAGUUAGCACCCUUGGGUGCUCAUUACAUCAACUUCAAGAUUAGGAAAGAGUGGUUUGUUUGGGAACAUUUACUGUGCUCUUAUUAAAGACAGACUGGUUUUGUGAUAUUUAGUACAUUUUUUUUUUAUAGUUCAAUUGCACACACAUUUUUCCUGCUUUAUAUUUUUUAUAGGUUUUUUUUUUCUUUACAACAUAAUAUUUAAUUGAUAGCGUUCCCCAACACUCUGCAAUCUAUAAAGGUAUAAAUUUCUGAGCUCAGAUAUUUUCCCUGAUAAUAGUAGUCGGUACUCUUAUCUUGAUUAUUUUUAGGCUGUGUUCCACUUUUGUAUAAUUAUUUAAACUCAUUCCAUUAUUUUAGUAUAUGUUUAAUUAAAUUUUUAAAAAUUAACUUCACAUAUUAGUCAAAAUUGUAAUUAUUAACUUUAUUUAACUUGAACUUAUUAACUUUACUUAACUUUAACUUAUUAACUUUAUUUAACUUUAACUUUAAUUUAUUAAAUUCAUAUGAACUUCUGGAUUCUAAUCCCUCAGAUUAGUUUUUGGUUUCACUUGUUAUUAUUACUAUUAUAAACCACGAGUUAGGAAAAGGAUCUGUGUAUCCACUCGUAGGUUUAUUUAUUCAAUAAGGCUUGUGCCUGUCCCACUCACAGUGAGGUAUUUAUAUGUUAUAUAUAGUAUCAGGUAGUAUUUAAUUAAGGUGUACGUAUUAUAAACGUACAAUUAUUAUUUGGUGAGGGUUCUACUAACCUAGUUGUAAGUUGUACUUCCUGUAUUAGAGGUACCCGUAGUCAGUUUUUCUAACCUUAUAAAGAGUAUUCUUAGAUCAUAGUUGUAUGAUGAUUUUGUAAUUGACUUUCACUAGUAUCACUUUUUCCUGUCAUGUUAGAGUUACACACUAGUUACUUGUCCUAACUCAGAGAUUGUUAAAAAGAUCUAGUAGUUACAUUCAAUAAAUAUACAUUUAUUGUGA
rnacentral:lncRNA from 1 species